GACGAAUGCUGGCUGCGUGCUUAACACAUGCAAGUCGAACGGUGAAGGAGGGCUUGCCCUCCGGAUCAGUGGCGAACGGGUGAGUAACACGUGGGCAACCUGCCCCUCACUCUGGGAUAACGCCGGGACACCGGCGCUAAUACCGGAUACGACCAGGCGCCACAUCUCGCCUGGUGGCAAGAAGUUCGGGGAGGGAUGGGCCCGCGGCCUAUCAGCGAGUUGGUGGGGUAACGGCCCACCAAGGCGACGACGGGUAGCCGGCCUGGGAGGGCGACCGGCCACACUGGGACUGAGACACGGCCCAGACUCCUACGGGAGGCAGCAGUGGGGAAUAUUGCGCAAUGGGCGAAAGCCUGACGCAGCGACGCAGCUUGAGGGACGAAGGCCUUCGGGUUGUAAACCUCUUUCAGCGGGGACGAAGCGAAAGUGACGGUACCCGCAGAAGAAGCACCGGCUAACUACGUGCCAGCCGCCGCUGUAAAAC
rnacentral:rRNA from 1 species